rnacentral:rRNA from 1 species
UACGAAGGGGGCUAGCGUUGCUCGGAAUCACUGGGCGUAAAGGGUGCGUAGGCGGGUCUUUAAGUCAGGGGUGAAAUCCUGGAGCUCAACUCCAGAACUGCCUUUGAUACUGAGGAUCUUGAGUACGGGAGAGGUGAGUGGAACUGCGAGUGUAGAGGUGAAAUUCGUAGAUAUUCGCAAAGAACACCAGUGGCGAAGGCGGCUCACUGGUCCGGUACUGACGCUGAGGUGCGAAAGCGUGGGGAGCAAACAGG